rfam:Felis catus isolate Cinnamon breed Abyssinian chromosome A2, whole genome shotgun sequence.
GCCUGGGUGGCUCAGUCGUCGGUUGAGCGUCCGACUUCGGCUCAGGUCAUGAUCUCACAGUCUGUGGGUUCGAGCCCCACAUCGGGCU